rnacentral:rRNA from 1 species
UGCUUACCAUGCAAGUCGAGCGGUAAGGCCCUUCGGGGUACACGAGCGGCGAACGGGUGAGUAACACGUGGGUGAUCUGCCUCGCACUUCGGGAUAAGCCUGGGAAACUGGGUCUAAUACCGGAUAUGACUCCUGGUUGCAUGGCUGGGGGUGGAAAGAUUUAUCGGUGCGAGAUGGGCCCGCGGCCUAUCAGCUUGUUGGUGGGGUAAUGGCCUACCAAGGCGACGACGGGUAGCCGGCCUGAGAGGGCGACCGGCCACACUGGGACUGAGACACGGCCCAGACUCCUACGGGAGGCAGCAGUGGGGAAUAUUGCACAAUGGGCGAAAGCCUGAUGCAGCGACGCCGCGUGAGGGAUGACGGCCUUCGGGUUGUAAACCUCUUUCGACAGGGACGAAGCGCAAGUGACGGUACCUGUAGAAGAAGCACCGGCCAACUACGUGCCAGCAGCCGCGGUAAUACGUAGGGUGCGAGCGUUGUCCGGAAUUACUGGGCGUAAAGAGCUUGUAGGCGGUUUGUCGCGUCGUCUGUGAAAACUCACAGCUCAACUGUGAGCUUGCAGGCGAUACGGGCAGACUUGAGUACUGCAGGGGAGACUGGAAUUCCUGGUGUAGCGGUGAAAUGCGCAGAUAUCAGGAGGAACACCGGUGGCGAAGGCGGGUCUCUGGGCAGUAACUGACGCUGAGAAGCGAAAGCGUGGGUAGCGAACAGGAUUAGAUACCCUGGUAGUCCACGCCGUAAACGGUGGGCGCUAGGUGUGGGUUUCCUUCCACGGGAUCCGUGCCGUAGCUAACGCAUUAAGCGCCCCGCCUGGGGAGUACGGCCGCAAGGCUAAAACUCAAAGGAAUUGACGGGGGCCCGCACAAGCGGCGGAGCAUGUGGAUUAAUUCGAUGCAACGCGAAGAACCUUACCUGGGUUUGACAUACACCGGAAACCUGCAGAGAUGUAGGCCCCCUUGUGGUCGGUGUACAGGUGGUGCAUGGCUGUCCUCACCUCCUGUCCUGAAAUGUUGGGUUAAUCCCCCAACGAGCGCACCCUUGCCUGUGUUGCACGCCUAAUGGCGGGACUCCCAGGAAAUGCCGGGGUCACCUCG